UAUACUUUAGUAUAAAAUGUACAAAAAUUUUUGAAGUUUUUAGAAAUAGAUAUAUCUAUUAAGUAUAG
rnacentral:tRNA from 1 species